rnacentral:lncRNA from 1 species
GCACCUUCAAAGAAAUCCCCAUGACUGUCUAUACAACUAAAAUUAUAACCAAACUCGUGGAACCAAAAAUUAAAGUCAUUCAAGGCAGUCUUCAGCCUAUUAUCAAAACAGAAGGACCUGCAAUGACGAAGAUCCACAUUGAAGGCGAGCCUGACUUCAGGCUGAUUAAAGAAGGUGAAACAGUGACAGAAGUGAUCCACGGAGAACCAGUCAUUAAAAAGUACACCAAAAUCAUAGACGGGGUUCCUGUUGAAAUAACUGAAAAAGAGACCCGGGAAGAACGCAUCAUCACAGGUCCUGAGAUAAAAUACACUAGGAUUUCCACAGGAGGUGGGGAAACAGAAGAGACCCUGCAGAAAUUCUUGCAAAAAGAGGUCUCCAAGGUCACAAAGUUCAUUGAAGGUGGCGAUGGUCACUUAUUUGAAGAUGAGGCGAUUAAAAGACUGCUUCAGGGAGACACACCUGCAAAGAAGAUACAAGCCAACAAAAGGGUUCAAGGGUCUAGAAGGCGAUCAAGAGAAGGCCGUUCUCAGUGAAAAUUCAAAGGCCAGACAACAGAGUUUAUAUAAUCCUAAAUCAACAAUCUGAUUUUUAAGGGAAAUUAUAAGAGCCCCAUUGACUUCGGAAUCUGAAAUGGCAACAAACAGAAGCUAAUUGUCAAGCAAAUCUGAACGCAGAGUUAAUUUGUUUCUGAAUGAGAAACAUAGGAAAAUGAUAGUCUCCUGUGGGGUAGGAACUGAAGGAAAUAUAGGACCAUGCAGGGAUUUUAUCUCAAUGAGAGAAGUUCUGAUUAUAUUAGGAAUCCACCAA